UAGGGAAUCUUGCGCAAUGGGCGAAAGCCUGACGCAGCCAUGCCGCGUGAAUGAUGAAGGUCUUAGGAUUGUAAAAUUCUUUCACCGGGGAAGAUAAUGACGGUACCCGGAGAAGAAGCCCCGGCUAACUUCGUGCCAGCAGCCGCGGUAAUACGAAGGGGGCUAGCGUUGCUCGGAAUUACUGGGCGUAAAGGGCGCGUAGGCGGAUGUUUAAGUCGGGGGUGAAAGCCCAGGGCUCAACCCUGGAAUUGCCUUCGAUACUGGACAUCUUGAGUACGGGAGAGGUGAGUGGAACUCCGAGUGUAGAGGUGAAAUUCGUAGAUAUUCGGAAGAACACCAGUGGCGAAGGCGACUCACUGGCCCGUUACUGACGCUGAUGCGCGAAAGCGUGGGGAGCAAACA
rnacentral:rRNA from 1 species